rnacentral:rRNA from 1 species
UACCGGCGGCUCGAGUGGUGGCCGCUAUUACUGGGCUUAAAGGGUCCGUAGCUUGAUAACUGGGUCCCUUGAGAAAUCCGCCAGCUUAACUGGCGGGCGUUCAGGGGAAACUUGUUUUCUAGGGACCGGGAGAGGUGAGGGGUACUGCCGGGGUAGGAGUGAAAUCCUGUAAUCCCGGUGGGACCACCUAUGGCGAAGGCAUCUCACCAGAACGGGUCCGACAGUGAGGGACGAAAGCUGGGGGAGCAAA